rnacentral:rRNA from 1 species
GAUGAACGCUGGCGGCGUGCCUAAUACAUGCAAGUCGAGCGAACUGAUUAGAAGCUUGCUUCUAUGACGUUAGCGGCGGACGGGUGAGUAACACGUGGGCAACCUGCCUGUAAGACUGGGAUAACUUCGGGAAACCGAAGCUAAUACCGGAUAGGAUCCUCUCCUUCAUGGGAGAUGAUUGAAAGAUGGUUUCGGCUAUCAUUUACAGAUGGGCCCGCGGUGCAUUAGCUAGUUGGUGAGGUAACGGCUCACCAAGGCAACGAUGCAUAGCCGACCUGGGAGGGUGAUCGGGCACACUGGGACUGAGACACGGCCCAGACUCCUACGGUAGGCAGCAGUAGGGAAUCUUCCGCAAUGGACGAAAGUCUGACGGAGCAACGCCGCGCGAGUGAUGAAGGCUUUCGGGUCGUAAAACUCUGUUGUUAGGGAAGAACAAGUACAAGAGUAACUGCUUGUACCUUGACGGUACCUAACCAGAAAGCCACGGCUAACUACGUGCCAGCCGCCGCAGUAA